GGCCUAACACAUGCAAGUCGAGCGGAAACGACACUAACAAUCCUUCGGGUGCGUUAAUGGGCGUCGAGCGGCGGACGGGUGAGUAAUGCCUAGGAAAUUGCCUUGAUGUGGGGGAUAACCAUUGGAAACGAUGGCUAAUACCGCAUGAUGCCUACGGGCCAAAGAGGGGGACCUUCGGGCCUCUCGCGUCAAGAUAUGCCUAGGUGGGAUUAGCUAGUUGGUGAGGUAAUGGCUCACCAAGGCGACGAUCCCUAGCUGGUCUGAGAGGAUGAUCAGCCACACUGGAACUGAGACACGGUCCAGACUCCUACGGGAGGCAGCAGUGGGGAAUAUUGCACAAUGGGCGAAAGCCUGAUGCAGCCAUGCCGCGUGUAUGAAGAAGGCCUUCGGGUUGUAAAGUACUUUCAGUUGUGAGGAAGGGUGUGUAGUUAAUAGCUGCGCAUCUUGACGUUAGCAACAGAAGAAGCACCGGCUAACUCCGUGCCAGCAGCCGCGGUAAUACGGAGGGUGCGAGCGUUAAUCGGAAUUACUGGGCGUAAAGCGCAUGCAGGUGGUUCAUUAAGUCAGAUGUGAAAGCCCGGGGCUCAACCUCGGAACUGCAUUUGAAACUGGUGAACUAGAGUACUGUAGAGGGGGGUAGAAUUUCAGGUGUAGCGGUGAAAUGCGUAGAGAUCUGAAGGAAUACCAGUGGCGAAGGCGGCCCCCUGGACAGAUACUGACACUCAGAUGCGAAAGCGUGGGGAGCAAACAGG
rnacentral:rRNA from 1 species